GUGUCAUUAAGAGGAGCAAGUACAUGGUGGAGAAAUGGAAGAGAAAGAGAAACAGAAGGAUGCCCGUCCAAUGAAGAGAGGCAAAACUGGAGACUCAAGGUAGUGAGUGAUGAUGCCUCAGCUCUCCUGUGUCAGUGGGGAUGAAGAAGUACUUUUUCCACAAAGGAAGUUUCCCUGGACAUAGAGAAAACAGUCUACACUGAACUCUACAGUCAACUUCCAGCCUUCUAGUUGAAGUCACAAGAAGAAAAAGUUCCCAGGACAUGAACAACACCAAGAAUAAACAUCAUAGAAUGAUGGAAGGGAGAAACUAGAAACUUGCCUUGUUUGGCCAAAGUCUGGCAUUAACAGAUGAGCAUGCAGAUGGGAGCCCACAGGAGGAAGCAUACAUUCUUGGGGAACACAAAUAUUGUGGAGAACUUACUAAAGGAGACAUAAACGGAAAUUGUGGAAGGAUCUUUCCCUUAUGGGUUCUAGGUAAGUCUUACAAGAGAUCAUUCUGGAGUAUCAGGAUGUUAUUCCUGGAGGACAGUGUAUCACGAGUUACUAAGAAUGAAGGAAACUCAAUUUAAACUGAAAGAUAAAAAUGACAUCUAUGGUCAAGGUUGGAGGAGGAAGUCUCAAUAAUGUGAGAGUAAGAGAGAGGGUACACAGUGGAAAUACCAUAAUGGAACAUUCAUACAUAAG
ensembl:lncRNA